GUGAGGAAUAUUGGUCAAUGGGCGAGAGUCUGAACCAGCCAAGUCGCGUGAAGGAAGAAGGAUCUAUGGUUCGUAAACUUCUUUUGCAGGGGAAUAAAGUGCAGGACGUGUCCUGUUUUGUAUGUACCCUGAGAAUAAGGAUCGGCUAACUCCGUGCCAGCAGCCGCGGUAAUACGGAGGAUCCGAGCGUUAUCCGGAUUUAUUGGGUUUAAAGGGUGCGUAGGUGGUUUGAUAAGUCAGCGGUGAAAGUUUGCAGCUUAACUGUAAAAAUGCCGUUGAAACUGUCGGACUUGAGUGUAAAUGAGGUAGGCGGAAUGCGUGGUGUAGCGGUGAAAUGCAUAGAUAUCACGCAGAACUCCGAUUGCGAAGGCAGCUUACUAAGCUACAACUGACACUGAAGCACGAAAGCGUGGGGAUCAAACAGGAUUAGAAACCCUAGUAGUCC
rnacentral:rRNA from 1 species